rnacentral:tRNA from 1 species
CGGAUGCUAGCGCAGUUUGGUAGCGCACUACUCUGGGGGAGUAGGGGUCAGCGGUUCGAAUCCGCUGCAUCCGACCA